rnacentral:tRNA from 1 species
GGGGAUAUAGCUCAGUAGUAGAGCAGUUGCCUAGAAAGCAUGAGGCCCUGGAUUUAAUCCCCAGUACCACAA